GCCCUUCGGGGCAUAUGAUCAACUGAAAAUAUACAGAGAAGAUUAGUACGAACCCGUGCACUAGCAAAACGUACAUAAUCAAAGAGAAGCACUUUUUUUUU
rfam:Penicillium nalgiovense strain IBT 13039 PENNAL_contig0062, whole genome shotgun sequence.